GAUGAACGCUGGCGGCGUGCCUAAUACAUGCAAGUCGAGCGAACAGACGAGGAGCUUGCUCCUCUGACGUUAGCGGCGGACGGGUGAGUAACACGUGGAUAACCUACCUAUAAGACUGGGAUAACUUCGGGAAACCGGAGCUAAUACCGGAUAAUAUAUUGAACCGCAUGGUUCAAUAGUGAAAGACGGUUUUGCUGUCACUUAUAGAUGGAUCCGCGCCGCAUUAGCUAGUUGGUAAGGUAACGGCUUACCAAGGCAACGAUGCGUAGCCGACCUGAGAGGGUGCUCGGCCACACUGGAACUGAGACACGGUCCAGACUCCUACGGGAGGCAGCAGUAGGGAAUCUUCCGCAAUGGGCGAAAGCCUGACGGAGCAACGCCGCGUGAAUGAUGAAGGUCUUCGGAUCGUAAAACUCUGUUAUUAGGGAAGAACAAAUGUGUAAGUAACUAUGCACGUCUUGACGGUACCUAAUCAGAAAGCCACGGCUAACUACGUG
rnacentral:rRNA from 1 species